UGUCGUUUUAUUUCCAUAUAUCUCCCGAUACCACCAUUAUAUUCUAUUUCUUAUUGAAAUAUAAAGUGCAUUAAUUAAUGUACAUUUACGUGUAUCUUGAUGUAGUUUGAAGGAUAUGAAUAAACCUUGAACAUAGCUGUAAUACGGACGGACACUCGGAGUUGGCAAACAUUGAGGAACAGUCAAACGUUCAAUAAAGGUCUUUGAUCUACUAUCCCUUCAAUGUGAAAAUGGAACAUUCUCUAGACGAGUCUAUUCCAGUCUGCUUUUUCCUGCCUGAGUAGUCACUGUUUGCCUUGAAGUGGCAUUUGCAGCUUUACCAGUCUUGAGGUGGCCUAGCGCAGAUGGUGCUUAGCCUUGAAUCUCGAUCAUCAAGCUACCAUUGUCACUACUAAUAUAGGCACAAAAACGAUGGAAGUCUUCAUAUAUAUUGCUGCUUAGUUGACAUGGCGAGAUGA